UUAUUUGAGAGUUUGAUCCUGGCUCAGGAUGAACGCUGGCGGCGUGCCUAACACAUGCAAGUUGAGCGAUUUACUUCGGUAAAGAGCGGCGGACGGGUGAGUAACGCGUGGGUAACCUACCCUGUACACACGGAUAACAUACCGAAAGGUAUGCUAAUACGGGAUAAUAUAUUUGAGAGGCAUCUCUUGAAUAUCAAAGGUGAGCCAGUACAGGAUGGACCCGCGUCUGAUUAGCUAGUUGGUAAGGUAACGGCUUACCAAGGCGACGA
rnacentral:rRNA from 1 species